rnacentral:rRNA from 1 species
CAGUAGCCGCGGUAAUACGGAGGGUGCAAGCGUUACUCGGAAUUACUGGGCGUAAAGCGUGCGUAGGUGGUGGUUUAAGUCCGUUGUGAAAGCCCUGGGCUCAACCUGGGAAUUGCAGUGGAUACUGGGUCACUAGAGUGUGGUAGAGGAUAGUGGAAUUUCCGGUGUAGCAGUGAAAUGCGUAGAGAUCGGAAGGAACAUCUGUGGCGAAGGCGACUAUCUGGGCCAACACUGACACUGAGGCACGAAAGCGUGGGGAGCAAACAGGAUUAGAUACCCCGGUAGUCCCUGUCUCUUAUAC